rnacentral:rRNA from 1 species
AUUGAACGCUGGCGGCAGGCCUAACACAUGCAAGUCGAGCGGAUGAAGGGAGCUUGCUCCUGGAUUCAGCAGCGGACGGGUGAGUAAUGCCUAGGAAUCUGCCUGGUAGUGGGGGAUAACGUCCGGAAACGGGCGCUAAUACCGCAUACGUCCUGAGGGAGAAAGUGGGGGAUCUUCGGACCUCACGCUAUCAGAUGAGCCUAGGUCGGAUUAGCUAGUUGGUGGGGUAAAGGCCUACCAAGGCGACGAUCCGUAACUGGUCUGAGAGGAUGAUCAGUCACACUGGAACUGAGACACGGUCCAGACUCCUACGGGAGGCAGCAGUGGGGAAUAUUGGACAAUGGGCGAAAGCCUGAUCCAGCCAUGCCGCGUGUGUGAAGAAGGUCUUCGGAUUGUAAAGCACUUUAAGUUGGGAGGAAGGGCAGUAAGUUAAUUCCUUGCUGUUUUGACGUUACCAACAGAAUAAGCACCGGCUAACUUCGUG